CGCGCAGGCGGUCGUUCAAGUCGCGUGUGAAAGCCCCCGGCUCAACUGGGGAGGGUCACGCGAUACUGAUCGACUCGAAGGCAGGAGAGGGUAGUGGAAUUCCCGGUGUAGUGGUGAAAUGCGUAGAUAUCGGGAGGAACACCAGUGGCGAAGGCGACUACCUGGCCUGUUCUUGAUGCUGAGGCGCGAAAGCUAGGGAGCAAACG
rnacentral:rRNA from 1 species